AUUGAACGCUGGCGGAAUGCUUUACACAUGCAAGUCGAACGGCAGCACGGACUUCGGUCUGGUGGCGAGUGGCAAACGGGUGAGUAAUGUAUCGGAACGUGCCCAGUCGUGGGGGAUAACGUAGUGAAAAUUACGCUAAUACCGCAUACGAUCUAUGGAUGAACGCGGGGGAUCGCAAGACCGCGCGCGAUUGGAGCGGCCGAUAUCAGAUUAGGUAGUUGGUGGGGUAAAGGCCCACCAAGCCAACGAUCUGUAGCUGGUCUGAGAGGACGACCAGCCACACUGGAACUGAGACACGGUCCAGACUCCUACGGGAGGCAGCAGUGGGGAAUUUUGGACAAUGGGCGAAAGCCUGAUCCAGCCAUUCCGCGUGCAGGAUGAAGGCCCUCGGGUUGUAAACUGCUUUUGUACAGAACGAAAAGGUUUCUACUAAUACUAGGAGCUCAUGACGGUACUGUAAGAAUAAGCACCGGCUAACUACGUGCCAGCCGCCGCAGUAA
rnacentral:rRNA from 1 species